rnacentral:rRNA from 1 species
AACGUAGGAGACAAGCGUUAUCCGGAGUUACUGGGCGUAAAGGGCGUGUAGGUGGUUGCGUAAGUCUGGCGUGAAAUAUCUCGGCUUAACCGAGGCAGGUCGUCGGAUACUGCGUAACUGGAGGACGGUAGAGGCGUGUGGAAUUCCGGGUGUAGUGGUGAAAUGCGUAGAGAUCCGGAGGAACACCAGUGGCGAAGGCGACACGCUGGGCCGUACCUGACACUGAUGCGCGACAGCAUGGGGAGCAAACAGGG